rnacentral:pre_miRNA from 1 species
GCUGGUUGGCCUAAACCCGUAAGGUCUUAACUUGUGCUGGAGUUACGAGUACACAGGUUAUGCCCUUUGGGUAGUAGGCCGGACAGAUUA